CUGUUCAGGUGUCCCAGAUAUUAUAAUCACAGUUUCUGUUGCUCCAGGCUUCGGCUCGGUAAUUGUAAUUUUAGCAUCAGAAAUCUGGUGAAUUUGUUUCAGGCAUGAACCAUCUUCUCCAUAUAUUACAGGGACCACAGAACGAGGAAUAACGACUUGAACAGUAGUGCUGGUGAUAAUAGCCGGAGUGUUUACCCCUCCAAAACCUGA
rnacentral:misc_RNA from 1 species